UACUACAAGCGCUAGCUUAAAACCCAAAGGACUUGGCGGUAUCCCACACCCACCUAGAGGAGCCUGUUCUAUAACCGAUAAUCCCCGUUCAACCUCACCACUUCUUGCCAUUACCGUCUAUAUACCGCCGUCGUCAGCCCACCCUGUGAAGGACCAAAAGUAAGCAAAAAGAAUAAAACUCCAAAACGUCAGGUCGAGGUGUAGCAAAUGAAGUGGGAAGAAAUGGGCUACAUUUUUUCCCAAAAAUAUACGAAUGAUAAACUGAAAACAUACCUAAAGGUGGAUUUAGCAGUAAGAGAAGAUCAGAAUACUUCUCUGAAAUCGGCUCUGGGAUAAGCACACACCGCCCGUCACUCUCCUCAAAAAUAACUCACCAUUUCCAUAAAUACAUUCCUUCAACAAGAGGAGGCAAGUCGUAACAUGGUAAGUGUACUGGAAAGUGCACUUGGAAUCAAAU
rnacentral:rRNA from 1 species